CAAAGUGCAGCAACAGGAAAACAAUGAAUAGGACUAGAACUAGCACACAGAUAGUGGUAGUUUGUCAAAUGUAAAACCUAGACUGUAUGCAGUUUCACUGUCAGCCACCAGGUCUUCCUGAAGGUCCAGGUGAAGGUUUUCCAGGGAGCAACAAGGUGGCAGUGAAAGCUCCCAGUAACAACCAAAGAUACAAUCACUUGCUUCCAGGGAGAUUGAAAACAGACAGUAUACCACUCCUGUGUUGUGUCUUUCUUUGGCUAAAUAUCCA